CCUACGGGUGGCAGCAGUGGGGAAUAUUGGGCAAUGGGCGCAAGCCUGACCCAGCAACGCCGCGUGAAGGAAGAAGGCUUUCGGGUUGUAAACUUCUUUUGACAGGGAAGAGUAGAAGACGGUACCUGACGAAUAAGCCACGGCUAACUACGUGCCAGCAGCCGCGGUAAUACGUAGGUGGCAAGCGUUGUCCGGAUUUACUGGGUGUAAAGGGCGUGUAGCCGGGUUGACAAGUCAGAUGUGAAAUCCUGCGGGUUAACCGGAGAACUGCAUGUGAAACUGUGGAGCUUGAGGACUGGAGAGGCAGAUGGGAUUCCUAGUGUAGGGGUGAAAUGCGUAGAUAUUAGGAGGAACACCGGUGGCGAAGGCGGCCUGCUGGACUGUGACUGACGUUGAGGCCCGAAGGCGUGGGGAGCAAACAGGAUUAGAUACCCGUGUAGUC
rnacentral:rRNA from 1 species